ensembl:lncRNA
UAUGGUCGGAACGUCUGGUAGCGUCUUUGGCUGCUGUUGACCUGGUUUUUGGAGUAAAACACGAUGCACAAUGAGGGACGUCUGCAGAGACUGAGAAAGAGUCUCACCACAUCCUGACAUGAGGAAAAAGACUUUAUUGAAGACUACAAUGAGAAAAACUAUCAGACAGCAGACGGCUGCAUUCAAGAGAGGAAGACCAUCAAACAUCCAUGUCAGCUGAUGGAGGUCCAAGAGUCUCACUGAACAACCAACCUACAGAGUGAAGACCUCGAAUCUGAUUGGACGGCCUCCUAUUCAGCCACGUGUGAACAAAUGCCUCUAAGCUGAUUUGUUUUCUAAAAUAAAUCUAGUUUGAGUCCUAAUCUAUGCUUGUGUGUUUGCUUCUUUACACUGCUGUUAACAGUUUAGGCUGUUAGAUUGUUCCAGAUAAGACAAGUACAAGAUUCUUCAGAGCCGUUCUACCACGAGCCUGACAGGAAGAACUCCAACAGCUACUGAAUGUUCCUGUGGUUCCCUCAAGGCUACAGGAGGAGUCCUACAAGGACGAGCCGGUCCACCUGAUGGCGGCCAGUCGCUGCGGUUCAAAGCCAACACCGACUACGUGGACUUCU